rnacentral:rRNA from 1 species
CAGUCGCCACGGGAAUACGUAGGGUGCGAGCGUUAAUCGGAAUUACUGGGCGUAAAGCGUGCGCAGGCGGUUUGUUAAGACAGAUGUGAAAUCCCCGGGCUUAACCUGGGAACUGCAUUUGUGACUGGCGAGCUAGAGUAUGGCAGAGGGGGGUAGAAUUCCACGUGUAGCAGUGAAAUGCGUAGAGAUGUGGAGGAAUACCGAUGGCGAAGGCAGCCCCCUGGGCCAAUACUGACGCUCAUGCACGAAAGCGUGGGGAGCAAACAGGAUUAGAUACCCCCGUAGUCCCUGUCUCUUAUAC